GACGAACGCUGGCGGCGUGCCUAAUACAUGCACGUAGGACGCAGUUGCGACCGGGUGAGUAACUCGUGGGUAACUACCUAUUAGAGGGGGGUAACUCGUGGAAACGAUAGCUAAUACCGCAUACUAGUAGAUGGACCUGCUUUGUAUUAGCUAGUAGGUAGGGUAAAGGCCUACCUAGGCAACGAUACAUGGCCGACCUGGGAGGGUGAACGGCCACACUGGGACGUAGACCCGGCCCAGACUCCUACGGGAGGCAGCAGUAGGGAAUCUUCGGCAAUGGGGGGAACCCUGACCGAGCAACGCCGCGUGAGUGAAGAAGGUUUUCGGAUCGUAAAGCUCUGUUGUUAAGGAAGCGGUACUUAACCAGAAAGGGACGGCUAACUACGUGCCAGCCGCCGCGGUAAUAC
rnacentral:rRNA from 1 species